GGGCGAUUAGCUCAGUUGGGAGAGCGUCUCGUUUACACCGAGAAGGUCGGCGGUUCGAACCCGUCAUCGCCCACCA
rnacentral:tRNA from 2 species